GGAGUGCCUGCUGAUUGGAUGGUAAGUAUGCAAAAAAGGUUAAAGUGAAGAAACCACUCAAGGGUGAGCACAACAAUGUAGAAAAACAAUUAAGAAAAAGCAGCGUUUAUCAUUUUCUAAUAUAAGAACUAUUUACUCAGCCUUGGUUGACUGGCUAUCUAACCAGUUUCUGUGCUCCCAUCCAGAAAAUCAGCAGCCAUAUGAAAGCAUCAGUGAUCCAGAUGCAGAAACCAAAUCCAUAUCUAACUGACUUCCUGCUUUUCUAUGACAUCAUCCUUCAGAAAAUGGGGCAUAAAGAAGAACAUGAUAAAGCUAACCUAUUUACUGUGGACUGAUUCCUUCAUGCAUCUCACAUUCUGCAACUUGGACUACGGCAUAACUGGCUGGUACAUCAGGUGAUUGAGGCAGCAAUCUUUAAACCUGCUGCCACUAACAGUAUAACCAGAAUGAGUUAGCCUUCCUUACUGCUCCUAAGAAGAUUUCUGUAAGGAGCAAGCACCUUGAAGACUUUCCUUAAAUGGGAAGUAUUAAAUACAUCAUAUCUGGAAGGUGACGGGGAAUAAAAAGAUGAGUUAUUUUGUGAUAUACUUUUAG
rnacentral:lncRNA from 13 species